rnacentral:tRNA from 1 species
GACACGGAGUGACAUGGCUCGCACCAGAUUCCUAAUCUGAGGGUCGCGCGUUCGAAUCGCGCCGGGGUCACCA